rnacentral:lncRNA from 1 species
AUCAAUCAGCGUUAAUCCUUCUUGACAAAGCUUAACAAAGCUCGUAGACGCCAUAGUAGAAAUCUCCGCCGAAGGAAGAAAGAGAUCUGGAGAGUGAGAGAGAGAAUUGCGGGAUCUGAUGUGAAUUUUUCUUACUGGCAUCACCUACUUCCAGCAAGCGUAUGUGUUAAAUAGGGCCGAAAUAUUCUCUUUCUUAUCAACUGGGAUAGGCCAGAAGUGAUGGGAUACUUUCUCAGACAAUUAGUUAUUGGGCCAACUAGUAAUGGGCUCAGUUGCUGUUAAAGCUGCAUAUAAUAGCAAGAUGAGUCCACGACUGGUUUGGUUGGUACAUUGCCUGUAAAAGUAGAUACAUACGUCCAAAUGUUGGUGUUACUCAUGCUUGGCGAGUAAUAUGUAAAACAAGAGAUAGAGCUUAGACUAUCACCGAUGUAUUUUUCUAUUUUUAUUCUGAAAGAAGAAUUCUUAGAGUCCUACUAUUUUUAUUCUGAAAAAAGAAU